rnacentral:tRNA from 1 species
GUGAAUAUAGUUUAUAAAAACACUAGACUGUGACUCUAGAGACAGAAGCCCCCGCCUUCUUAUUUACC